UUGACCUCGAAUCAGGUGGGACUACCCGCUGAACUUAAGCAUAUCAAUAAGCGGAGGAAAAGAAACUAACAAGGAUUCCCCUAGUAACGGCGAGUGAAGAGGGAAGAGCUCAAAUUUAAAAUCUGGCAGUCUUUGAUUGUCCGAGUUGUAGUCUAGAGAAGUGUUUUCCGUGUUGGACUGUGUACAAGUUUGCUGGAUACGGAACAUCAUAGA
rnacentral:rRNA from 1 species